UUCAAGGGAGCUUCAGAGAGAAAACCAGGGGGGUUUCAGAGAGAAAACCGGGAGGAGCUUGCUGGUGAGAAUAGGGGGGAGGUCCUUGAGCUUCAGGGAGAGUAUUCGUUUAGCUUGAGAGGGAGGUCAGCUGAAGAAGAAUGGCUUGCUGAUUUCUGGCCAACCUAACUGGAGAGGAUUAUUUUCAGGUAUGUUUAUUGUGAAUUUCCCAUUUGCUUCAACUGGUAAGUUUUUCUUCUCUUAUUUUUGUUGAUUAUUAGAUGAUGUUUGUUGGUUGGGAGUAAACAUGCUCAUGUCUCUCUUUUUAAUGAUUUCUAUUGAGGACCCGUUUGGCUCUAUUUCUGUUCCCCCAUGAGAUAUCUGUAACCUUGUUUUGAUUUUUAUUUGGCACUCAUUUGAUUUCACCCACCCUCAUAUGAGCUCAUUGAUUAAUAUAUGAAAUGAGGCUUGUAUGAAUUCAUGUUGUUCCUAUUGCUUGCACUUUAUUUUUUUUGUUGUCUACCCUGUUUUUGGUACCCGUACCUGGGGUGCAUUUUUCUUCUCAUCUCUACCUAUGGUAGCAAGGAAUUACAGAGAACAGAUUCUCAGUUGGGAGAGCUACCUAGACUUCGUUAAUAGAUAUGGGAAAGUGUCAACAGCGUCAGAGUUGUUUGUCAAACGGAUGGUGAUGCUGCAGGAGCUUUAACGCUCAUCUUCAGGGAAAUUCUGAUCAAAUGCAAGGGUCUCAAAUUGAACCCUGUAUCUAUCACAUACUUUGUCAUUCCCUGCAGUGCUCUUUGUCCCUUCAUUCGGCAGAUCUUGCUGAAGAAGCUGAGGAUGGAUGUUGUAGGAGUAUUUAUGGAAAUAAGAAGAAUUGAAACCAAUCCUACUUCUGUAGCAUUUGCUUGUGUUUUGUCUAUCUCUGCCUUUGAGAUGACGAGUAAUUUUGGUUCAUAGUUUCAUGGGCCUAUUGUCAUUAGUGAGUUGGAGACGGAUUCUCCUGUAGCAAACACUUUGUUGGUAAUGUAUGUCCAGAACAGGUUUAUGGAUGAGGCUCCAUGUUUGUUUUAUGAGAUGAUAUCAACUGAUAUGAAACCCCGAUCACAUUCUCAAGUUUCCUUCCAUUGAUUUCUGAAGAGGCAACUCUUAGGCAAUGGAUGUGGAGGUGGCACACAAGGUUUUGAUCAAAGAACCCCUGUAUUGUUGUGGUAUGUACAACUAUGAUGUCAGGUUAUGUAUGAGAUAAGAUGAAUAACAAUGUCUUGGGAAGUUCUUAGUGGUUGCUUUAAAAGCAAAUGAGACCCAGUUCAGUAACAUUGGCAAAAGGGUCUUACCUACUGAUGCUAGUCUGGCUGUUUUGAAAAUGGGAAGGAGUUGCAUGGUCACAUACUUGAGGAUGGGCACAGAGGAAGCUGCCACGUAGGAAGUGCGAGGAUGGAAUUGCAUGCAAAUUGUGGAGAAAGAGUUAGAUUCAAAUUCCCAAUGCCUUGAUGUUAGAAAUGAAGAUCUUCUGCUCGAAUUGAAGAAAGGACUUUUGUAUCCUGAGUUUCAUUUUCUGCCAGCCAUACUUGAAAGCUAGCAUCCAGUGUGGACUUCAGCGUAUGUCCUAAUGAAAUUAUGUGUUGAAUGUGAUGUCAUGUUUCUUCAUGCAACACCAGUAGUCGAAGAAAAACAUGUCAUCCACCUACUUUUGGUACUCACCCUCUAGUUCUUCCUUUUUAGCAGCAAACCCCGCUUAGAGCUCCUCCAUUUCCUUCCUCAGCCGCUUGUUCUCCUGCUCAGAUUUCUUACACUAGGCCUCUACCGCCUCUCCCUCAUCUCUCAGCUAGCGGGCCUCAGCAUUGGCCACUUCCCUUUCCCUUUCUGCCUUCCUAAGCAACUCGGCUACCUCGUCAGCAACUUUCUGAGUAGUAGCAAGCUCGCUCUAUACUAGUUUCAACUUCAAGCGGAGCUCUUCACUAUCGUCCAUGUGCCUCAGCAACCUCCAGUAAUUUGAAGAGCAAAGCAUGCUGUCGUAUCAGAUUGCGAACGUCAGUCACCACUUGAAACGACAGUAAGGAAUAUGUUAAGCAAUCAAAGGCAAAAGUGUCAUGAACUAGAGAGGGGCAAGGCUUACAACUUCUGUCAUCUCAACGACUCUGUAAUCCUACAUAGGCAGGAUAUGGGAGGCGAUGGAAUCUAGGGUGUUGAAUGGGAGUCGGGCCACGAAGGAGAUGUUUGGGUCGCCGCUUAGGUCCAUCGAGACCCUUCGAGUAGUCGAGAAGAGGUCCCCUAUAUUAUUCACAAGACCCUCACUCUCUGUGAAACAGGGGACCUGCUUCAGCAGUUCAACCAUUUCUUUCCAGCUAGGAGCACGAGGGGUUUUAGGGCAUGGAGGGACAAAGGCCACACACUCAACGGAGUCGUCGCUGAGUUGGGCUAGACCAAUGGAGGGCUCGCCUAGCUCUAGGCAGGCAUUUUUUCCGGUAGAAGGCCUCACAGUCGGCACAUGACUGGGCCCUACACCAUCUACCGAAGGCUUUAGCACCGGAGGAAUGGCUAAGACGGGCAUCGGGCAGAGAACUUCUGAGCAGGGCUUCUUAGUAGGAGGAGGGACGACCAAAAUACAUUCAGAGAGGCGCUUGCGCUGCCUCUCCUAGAAGCCAACUCUCAGGUUUGCAGCCAUGUCCUCCUUUUCCUCUUCCUUAUAAACAAUGUGAAGUACAACUGGCUCAACUUCUAUUUCUAGCUCGAUUCCUACGGAAAAUGAGUCAGUCAAUAAGUCUUGUUCAGUGUUGGCUACAGAGGAAAAUGAAGCUACAAAAGAAGCUGAAGUAGAUGGAAAUGUGGGCGAUAGAGUUAGCGCCUUCUUAGUGGGUUGAAUGGUAAAUAUCUUCUUCUUAGCCAGAAGACGGACAUUAGAAUUGGAAGCCAGACGGUUUUCGCUUGGGGCUUGCUUUAAUGUCUCCUUCUAAUGCUUCUUCUCUCUUUGGUCUAGCUGGUCUUGGCAUGCCUUUGUGUCUUGCGCGGGUGCGACCUCGUAAAAAGGAAGGUUCUUCAGCACGUGGUGCUCGUCAGGCACUAGGACCUUAGAGGCCGAACGAGGAAGGAUGAGCAGGACAUAUGAAUUAGGCUCCCAGACCACAACCAAUAGAUUUUGAUCCAUCAGAAGGAUCAAAUGGUUCCACUUGUUUGAAGUUAUCUUGAACAGUUUGUUGAGACGGUCAAAGGAAGCCUUUUUCACCCAUUCCACGAGCCAAUUUCUCCUCUCCUUGCCUACACCACGCAAACAAAAACAUCAGUAACAAGCUUAUAACCAGUAAGCUAUAAGGGACACACAAAGACAGCUACAAUGAGUGGCGCGAGUGAAACUCUCGGUCAAGACCCUCGUAUAGGCCACCCAGGGACCAGAAACAAGGACGGCAUGCCCCCUGGCCCCGUCUUUGUUGGAAUCUGAAAACCCUAUCAGCAACUGGAGAGAGGGAAUAUGAGCGAACGGGUUGAAUAUUCAUUUCUGGCUCAUCUUGAUUGUAUAAAUAAAAAUGACCUCUAAGAAGGAGAGGUCCAAGUGAAAAAGCAUGUUUAAGAUGUUGCACCCCAUCAACACCCUAACAACGUUUGGGCGAAUGAAGACGAGAGAGAUCUUAGUAUAAUAAAGAACUGCUUAAAGAGAGAAGGCAAGGAAAAAUGGAGCUCGACAUUGAACUGCUUAUUGCUGAAAUAGAUGGCAUUGUGAGAUUGCUUCUCAGUAGGUGUAGGUUUGUCGUCUACCAAGAGUAUGGAGACACCGUUCGGGAUGCAAAAGAGUUCCCGGAACUCCCGUUCAAACAAAAGUUUGAUUGGAUGCUUUGUCUAAGUAUGUCUGGCACUUGCACUCUUCUAGCCACCUUUUUAGCCUCUACCAACCGUAUUGGUGGAAGCAAUGCCUCAUCUUGCUGACAUAUUGAGAGGCUUUGGGUCGUGUGAGACCUGCACGAUACAACGCCGAUAGUUAGAGAAUAGUCACCUGACCCUUCUGCUAAUAGGCAGUGCCUCAAAUGUAUAGCAAGUAGCCUACGCGGGUCUAAAGCCCACACUUUGGCAAGUUACCUAGUCUAGCUUGCAAAGCAAGCCCUAACCAAAGACACCCCCCCUGUACCACCACAACAACUGCAAAACAAAAUGCCUGGGUGUACUAUUUAAGGGACCAACAAAAAAGAAGCAGAUAUAGAAAGAUGUGAAAACCCUAACUCUAGCAAGAUCUAUCGGUCUUUCCCUCCAACUACAACUGACUUCUCUAGGAAAACACUAAAUCCCUACAUUUUGGAACUUGCAAUGUACACUUGGCAUCCAGAAAGUCACAGACUCCAAAAACGGCCCCAACAGCAAGCAAAUAAACAAUAAGAAACCAAUGCGAAAGGAGAGCAAACUUACCAAAGUCCAAAAGAGACGUCCGCUAACAGAAAUAAGGCUAGCCUGAAGCAAUUCUGGAAAUAGCAAUGACGCAACGGAAGAAAAACAACGAUCGAAGUUGCAAAAGCAAAAAUACAGAAAACUGGAAGAAGGAGAAGAACUCUAAAAAUAAAGAUAUUCAAAAAGGUAACCCAAAGAGUCUGGAGUCCCUUAUUUAUAGGAGACCAAAACCCUAGUUAUCCCAAAAGACAGGCUGCCUAAAAGCACACCCCUAAGCAACACGCCGCCUAACAGGUCGCCUAGGUAAAAGCGACCCACAUUUAAUCCCCCAAGCGACACGUGUCCCAAAGGCGCUGGAAUGAUUUGAAGAGACACUUAUCCACUUCUUUUCGGACAUAGGUGCAUGGAUUUAAAGGGGGCAUUAUAGGGACUCUUCUCCACGUGUCACCCUCCUUUAACACUGACCAAAUAGGGACCGCAGUGUCCGAAGUUUUCCAUCCGGACCAUGAGGUCAGACAUCAAGCACAAUCGAACUUCCUAAGUGGACGGAACCAUCCAGUCAGCCUUCAAGGUCCAUUGACCUGCGUAAUCAUUCAUAUAUAGCAGAUGAGUGACUAAUGGGGCAUACCUCAACCAUCAAGUCGAUGUCAACUAAUUACUGCACACAACCCCACACCUCCAACAGGUUGAAGGGACGGGUAACUAUACGAUCAUACAUUAUACCAUAUCUUUUGACGGCACCUGCUAAGCACCUAGAGUUAUAAUGAUUACCCUACCACUUGUAGGAUUGUCAUCAUUACAAGAAAGUCAAAUUUCUUAGUCAGCACUAUAGGGGCCUCCUUCUGGGAACUAUAAAAACCCUCCUUAAGCAUAAACAAGGUAUGCGCGCUUAAAUUAGCCCACACAUUCUCUCAUUCAAAAAGUCUUACCUAUCUUUAUCUAACUUAAGCUUCGAAGGGGCGUGCCCGGACCACUUGUUCGAACAUCCUUUGUGAAGAAAAGAAACUCACCUAGUCCCCCAACACUAGGCAAAAACUUUGAGAGGCACAACAUAAGGAGGAUAUGACUCCAGUUGACCUUGCAUCAAAACACAUCCCUAAUUAGGGAUAGUUUUUCAUGUUUGAACACAUUUCUUUUUAAUUUUAUUUUUAUAUCACAAAAAUGGAAACAAAGAUAAUCUCAUUCACAAAAGACAACUCUUAUGGAGUUGAUAUGAGUUUCUAAUUUGAUACUUGAAAAGUUGAAACAUAAACUUUUACCUUUGAUACCAUUGAAAUUCUCCUAUAGUGUCGUUCAUUUGAAAUGUCCUAAGCUUAGGUCAUUAUUUUCCAAAGGAAAUUUCCUAUUCUAAACAAAAUGUCUAAAUAAGAAAAAAAUGAUAUUGAUUCAAAACUACGUAAAUCCCAUGUUCUACUAUUUCGUUGGCUAUAUGAGUUGGAACUAAAUUCUGUUUUCCUUACACAAAAAUAGAAGCAGAUACCUUUCUUCCUUCCUUUGUUUCAUGCAGGUAUGCCUGCCUACUCACAAAAAAAACAAUGGUUAUAUAAAUGGUUCAACAAUAGUGUUAGUUGUUAUAUAUUGACGAAAAUUUCCUUUUUGUAUGUAGGAGGAAAAGAACAACAAGGGUGAUGAAUUAAAAAAAAUUCCAACCAAAGCUCUACCGAUUCAAAUAGUGGUUUGUUAAUGACAUCAACUGUAGAUGAUGGUUUUUUCUCUUUCUUUUCAAGUAAGUCUGAUAGUUUUCUGCUCUGGAGGUUGAUAUGCUUAUAUUUCAUUUCAUUGUGAUCACUAUAGCUUUUCAUUGAUGGUUUCACUAGAGAUUGAUUUGGAAUGCAAUUAUGUAUUGGCAUUCUUUUGGGUUUUGUUCCUUACAGUGCUCUUUUCCUCAGUUCUCCUUUCUUCGUACAAUAUAAUAUGUAUAUUUGUAUGUAUGAUUUUUCAAGAUGAAAGAGACUUGAUCAACAUCCUAUUACCUUUUACAACAUUUUGACCACUAACAUCACCUCUGUAUAGUUCAAGCAUCGCUUAUGAACUCCUUUGCCACAAAAAAAAAAAAAAAGGCAUGUGUGCAUCUUGAGCUCUAGUAAGAUAUAUUUUAGUUGCACAAAACCUUUAGGCUCCAUUUGGAUUAUUAAAAGAGCUAAGGACAAUCAUGGUACAACCGAUCAAAAUUCUCUUAUUUGGUUUACCAUGGAAAGUACAAAGCAAAAUCAAGUAUAAUCAAAUUUGACUAAAAUUUUACAUAUUUUUAAAUUCUUCAUUUUUUACAUAGAUGAUGAAAAAAACAUGUGUUUGAAGAAACAUGGAAUAAUUUUUUUUUUAAGUUUAAUAUCUAUUUUAUUACCUUUCUUCGUCUUUACUUUCAUUCCACUUUCUCCUCAUUUUUUGCCUUCAAACUUUCCAUGAUCCAAACAAAGUCCCACUAUUUUUUAUUUUAGGCCUUUCACAAAAAUUUCUAUGAAAGAGUAAGAAGGAUGUGUUUGAAAGUUUUUAAAAUAAAACAUAUAUUACACUUAAUAAACACGAAGUAAUUUCCUCUUUGACCAAUAAUCUUCCCCUUUUUGACCAUAUCGUUGUUGGUGCAUGCAUGAUGUGCUUAACAAAUAUCCUAGCACAGCAAGAACUGUAGGGCGAUGUUUAAGGUUGUAAAUGUAAUUGUAUUACAAAGUAGAAAAGUUUUUAAUUGUGAUGUUUUUUGAUUCGUACUUAUUUUGGUGUCUAGACUUAAUCUUGUGCAUGACAUUUCCUCUAUGUUGCAGAGUUCGCCUUUGGUCAGACAAAAAUGAUCAAUGAAUGUCAUGAUAAAGGUUUUCCUGGAGGCUUCCUGUUAAUCAAUUCGACCUUAACUUUCUCUGGGUUUGGGAAUGAUUGGGAAUAAUUGUAAAGUGCUUGUGGAGGGAUUUCACAUGGCAAAGAAUGGGAAAUAAGUUAAUACUUAGAAUCGUGGAUGAUUUUCUCACCAUAGUGGGUUCAAGUACGAGAAGGUUGGGGUCAUUAAAUGAGGCCUUAUUAGGCAAAUGGAUUUAUCUGCAGUGGGAACCCAUUGUGGAGGAAGAUGGUAAGAAGAAAGUAUUGGAGGAAAAUGAGGUAAAGGUUAUUUGGUGAGUUUGCAGAAAGACAUUGGAAAUGGUUGUCAAAAAAUUUGAUAAACCUACAACACACACAUGAUUAAGGUGAUAAGAACAAGCUUAGAUUUCGGCCAGAUGUUUUGUACAGUGAUAGGAUCCUAAAUUGAAUCCUAUCCAUACCCAAUGAAAUUUGUCAUGAGAUGCAGAGUGGAGCCGGAGAGAGCUUUUCUUUGAAGGAAGCAUAAGAUAGUAGGGUGUCAAGUAAGGUAUCAAUUCUCAUGGGGAAAGCCCAUUCAAAUAGAGUUACUGUUACUGAUAAUAAGGUGAACAGAGGAAAGACCCCUCCCAAAUUGCUUCUAUUAGAUUAUUAAAUAGGUGGAAAAAACAGUAGAUUAGUUGGUGAUGCAUUUUUUGGUGGCUGCAGGUUAAUGGCAAUCUUGGGUGUUGUGGAUGAUGCCUCAGACUUUAUAAGGAGUUGUUAUCAGGUUGUCAUAGAAGAGUUGUUGCUUAGACCCAGAGUACUAUGUGGAUGACAAUGAUUUUAAGUUUUUAGUCUAGAAUGGUUGGAGAAAAAAGAAAUAGAAGAAAUUCUUAAGGGAAAGAGGUUCCUUUAACAUAUAAGAACAAAGGGGGUUCUGUCAUGAGUUUUCUUGAUGAUGUACAACUUUCCAAUGUAUUCUCUUCCCUUGAUAGUUAUCUUUUUAUCUUUUUCCUUUUCUAUUUCCUUUUGGGAUCCACAUAUACACUAUGAAUCAUCUAUUUGCUUUAGACUCUUCUGUAUAGAGUAAUUAAGAACAUAUUGCCUUUAUUCAUUGGAUCCUUAUAAACACUUGUUUUCAUUUAGUAAGAUGAGUCCAUUUAUAGUUCAUUGGCUUACAAUAAGAUUUUUUCCAAAAUUUCAGGGCAUUCAUGUUUGGACACAUUCUCC
rnacentral:lncRNA from 1 species